rnacentral:rRNA from 1 species
UACGUAGGGGGCAAGCGUUUGUCCGGAUUCAUUGGGCGUAAAGAGCGUGUAGGCGGCCAGGUAGGUCGGUUGUGAAAACUGGAGGCUCAACCUUCAGAGGUCGACCGAAACCAUCUGGCUAGAGUCCGGGAGAGGAGAGUGGAAUUCCUGGUGUAGCGGUGAAAUGCGCAGAUAUCAGGAAGAACACCCGUGGCGAAAGCGGCUCUCUGGAACGGUACUGACGCUGAGACGCGAAAGCCGUGGGGAGCGAACAGG